GAUGAACGCUGGCGGCGUGCCUAAUACAUGCAAGUCGAGCGAACGGACGAGAAGCUUGCUUCUCUGAUGUUAGCGGCGGACGGGUGAGUAACACGUGGAUAACCUACCUAUAAGACUGGGAUAACUUCGGGAAACCGGAGCUAAUACCGGAUAAUAUUUUGAACCGCAUGGUUCAAAAGUGAAAGACGGUCUUGCUGUCACUUAUAGAUGGAUCCGCGCUGCAUUAGCUAGUUGGUAAGGUAACGGCUUACCAAGGCAACGAUGCAUAGCCGACCUGAGAGGGUGAUCGGCCACACUGGAGCUGAGACACGGUCCAGACGCCUACGGGAGGCAGCAGUAGGGAAUCUUCCGCAAUGGGCGAAAGCCUGACGGAGCAACGCCGCGUGAGUGAUGAAGGUCUUCGGAUCGUAAAACUCUGUUAUUAGGGAAGAACAUAUGUGUAAGUAACUGUGCACAUCUUGACGGUACCUAAUCAGAAAGCCACGGCUAACUACGUG
rnacentral:rRNA from 1 species